rnacentral:lncRNA from 1 species
UUGGUGUUCCCUGUCCUGCUUCCCCAGAGGAAGCCAGAAGAAGACCCCAGUUGCCAUGAACUCCGCCGUCACUAGCCGUGAGCACUCCACUUACUCGCAGAGGAGUGAUGUCGUGCUCAGCUCCCAACCUAUGGCCAAGGCAGGAGGACAGAUAGGCAGCCCGGGAGUCCCGCAGCAGCUGCCUGGCCUAUGACAUCUUGGACAUCCUGCCAUGUUAUCUCUGUAUCUUCUUGGGGAUUCAGCACUUCCUCACAGCCCUGGGGGGCCUCAUGGCGGUGCCAUUCAUCCUGGCCAAGGACCUGUGCCUGCAGCAGGACCCCCUGACACAGAGCUACCUCAUCAGCACCAUUUUCUUUGCUCCAGCAUCUGCAUGCUCCUGCAAGUGUUUUUAGGGGUCAGUACUGGAGGCUGGAAGUCUGAGAUCUGGAUGCCAGCAUGGUCAGCUUCUGAGGGGUGCUCCUUUCCUGGCU